UACGAAGGGGGCUAGCGUUGUUCGGAAUUACUGGGCGUAAAGCGUGCGCAGGCGGCUUCUCAAGUCAGGGGUGAAAGCCCAGAGCUCAACUCUGGAAUUGCCUUUGAGACUGAGUGGCUUGAGUACGAGAGAGGUGAGUGGAAUUCCCAGUGUAGAGGUGAAAUUCGUAGAUAUUGGGAAGAACACCGGUGGCGAAGGCGGCUCACUGGCUCGUAACUGACGCUCAUGCACGACAGCGUGGGGAGCGAACAGG
rnacentral:rRNA from 1 species